rnacentral:rRNA from 1 species
CCUACGGGGGGCAGCAGUGGGGGAUAUUGCACAAUGGGGGAAACCCUGAUGCAGCGACGCCGCGUGGGCGAAGAAGUAUUUCGGUAUGUAAAGCCCUAUCAGCAGGGAAGAAGAAAUGACGGUACCUGAGUAAGAAGCACCGGCUAAAUACGUGCCAGCAGCCGCGGUAAUACGUAUGGUGCAAGCGUUAUCCGGAUUUACUGGGUGUAAAGGGAGCGCAGGCGGCACGGCAAGCCUGAUGUGAAAGCCCGCGGCCCAACCGCGGGACUGCAUUGGGAACUACCGGGCUGGAGUGCCGGAGAGGUAGGCGGAAUGCCUAGGGUAGCGGUGAAAUGCGUAGAGAUUAGGAGGAACACCAGUGGCGAAGGCGGCUUACUGGACUGUAACUGACGUUGAGGCUCGAAAGCGUGGGGAGCAAACAGGAUUAGAUACCCCAGUAGUC